AUGUGUCCUCGAACAAAUUGAAGGGGAUAGUGAAGCACUAUCGCAUUCCUCCAGAGUGCGCCCUAUACGCUCCUAAGGAGACCUGCCGGGCCGACCGCCCUGAGAUGGGUUUUGUGGUUUUGAGCGAGCAGAUUUUGAAGGCGGGUGGCACCGUUCCUUUGCACCCGUUCUUUGUGGCGGUUCUUAACUACUUCGACUUGGCCCCUCUUCAACUGUCACCCAACAGUUGGUUGACUUUAAGCUGUCUUUUCAUCUUGUUCAAGCAGAAUGUCGAGCACGCCCCGACGGCGCAAGAGGUGCACACCCUGUACAACCUCAUGGCGGUGCACAAGUCUAAGGGCUUCUUCUACCUGCAGAAGGCCAACAACGAUCUCCCUUUAAUAGAGGGUUCAGUGUCUAACCCAGGGCUUUGGAAGCAAGAAUUUUUCUAGGUAAAGGGCCCUCUCUCUGUUCGCGAGGACUUUCGCUUUAGCCCUAAGCAAUUCGCUGAUCCUUCGGCGAUUGGGGCAGAGGCGGCGGCCAUAAACAAGCUUAUAGAUGCAGACGCCGCCUUGAAGAAGGCGGCUGUCCUAUUUACUGUGACGAACCUUAAACUCCACCAGCUGUCCCUGGUUUCUGACCCUAAGUUCCUGUGGUCAAUUACUGUGUCUAAGAAGCCUGUGGCUAUGCUGACUGGGCCGUCCCUACACGAUGGCGAGGCUGAGGAGGAGAUGGAGGAUGCCCCCCCGUCCCCCGGGGGAUGCCCCCUCUAUGGCCCACAUGACCAGGACAUGGCUUUUCCAUCUCUGGACCCGCAGGCCGCGGCGGGAUGUUACGCCCCUCCUGGCCCUGAUGGCACGGACGUCUUCCCUCAUGUCCCCCAUGACAUCGGCAUACCAGACGCUAACUACGUCGACCUCGCGGAGCCCCCUUCCAAUGCACUAGGGUCCCAGUUUUUUCCCUUCUCUGCGCCGCCUCCUACUUCGGCGAGUGGGUCAUCCGUUCCUGUCCCACCAGAUGUUCCUAGCGUGGAGGCAGAGCCUUGGGUGACCAGGAUGGCCUCAGUUUAUGGGCAGCAUUUCGUUCCAAUAGCCGCGAGUCUCCCUGUCUCCGACUGGAGGGGCCUGGGGAAUGUGACUUAACCAGACCUCGGGGAGAUGCUAAGGCGCGCCGCAGCCUAGGUCUACAUCGUGUCUCUUCGGCAUGCCGACUAGUCCGGUGUUCUUUCCGCAUCUACCACUGAGAGGGACGACCUCAUAGUCCAGGUCCAAGAGCUUGAGAAUGAACUUAGCGCAGCCAAGGUCCAAUUGUCAAAGGCCCAGACUAAGUAUGCCAAGUUGGACUCGAAGAAUGACAAGCUGAAGGCCAAGAUCAAGGAGCUGAAGGGUAGGGCUAAAUGCUUGGAGUGCGAGCUCCGGGGGGCCAAGGCCGCUGCGUCCGCGUCGCAGGAGAGGGUUACUCAACAGGAGACUGAAGUUGAGGCCCUUAGGGCUGAACUACAGUCGGCUCAGGAGAAGAACGCUUCAUUGGAGGCGGAGAGAGCCAUAACCGAGCGUAAGUCCAUAGAUCAUGCUCUUUUUAAUGUGUGGAGGCAGGAUCCCCACUUCGACUUCUCCUCCUUUGGCGAACAGGACGUUGCCCGAGCAGCCUGGUGGAGUGCCCACUACAAGAGGCCUUGAAAUAUUUUCGCUCUUUUUUUGUUGUCUUUUGAUUUUGUAACAUCAUUACUAGUAUUGCUUUUCUGUUAGUAACUCUUGUGCUAU